UGAGCGAAAGUAGCCACUAUGCAUUAGAAUGGGCAAUUCAAAACCUUAUAGAUUCUAAUACACAACUCAUCAUUCUAACCAUCCAACCACUCAACGAAUACAGCUAUCUCCAUGCUUCCUCUUUCGGCUCAACCCCUGUGGAAUUGAUUCAAACAUUUCAAGAAAAUCAGAGGAAGGUUGCCAUGUCUCUUCUAGAAAAAGCCAAGGAGAUUUGCAUUAAACAUGGACUCGUAAUUUUAAUUUAAUUUCAUUUCAUGUCACUUAUCGUUUAUUUAAAGAUUGAUCAUCAAUGGAUUAAUGUUGAGUUUUUUUCAUUAUCGCAGGUAGAGGAUGUGGAGACAAUAACAGAGGUUGGAGAUCCGAAAGAAGUCAUUUGCGAAGCUGUCGAGAAACAUAACAUACAAAUGCUAAUAGUUGGGAGUCAUGGCCGAGGACCACUAAAGAGGGUUAUCCUAGGUAGUGUGAGCAAUUAUUGUAUGCACAAUGCCAAUUGUUCGGUUCUAGUGGUGAAGAAGCCAUUGUGAAAUUCAUGUUCAAGUUUAAUAAUGGUAUUUAUAUAUAAUAUAUGUAUUAAAUGUUAAUGUGUGUUGUAUGUUCUACAUGUUUGGACUAAGCAAUUAAACAAAUAAAUGGAAGAGAGUGUUUCCUUUCUGCAAUUAUUGUAUUUAAUUAUGAACUAUUGAUGAAUCAAUCAGUUAUAUUAUUGUGAAGUUUCAUAUAUAAAAUUUAGCAAUUUAUUAUUUUUAUUUAAAGAUGGUGUAAUUAAAGUCAUAAAGAAUGUAAGAUUACACCCAAAUACAAACAAUCAAUAAACAAUGUGUUAUAAAGG